GGGCCCGUAUCUCAGUCUGGUUAGAGAGGUCGGCUCAUAACCGACUCGUCCUUGGUUCAAAUCCGAGCGGGCCCA
rnacentral:tRNA from 2 species